rnacentral:lncRNA from 1 species
GCAUUUCAACUUCAUGACAAGCAACUUCAUGUCAGACCCCUGCCUGUCCCGUGGCCAGAGAAGUGCUUGAGCCCUGCCUGAGGAAGCACCACUGCUGUUACCUUUGGCUUCAUCGCCACUGCUAGUAAAUGACAAAAGGAGAGAAGCCACGUCUGCAUCUGCCCAUUUAUGUCGCCGCCCCACACGCCUGCUCACCCACCUGGUGGUCGGUGGGCACAGGCGUCUCCAGGGAGAGAUGGUGUCUCUGAAUACUUUGUCCCCAGAUGAGAAGUCAUCCAGCAAGAUCAGCAGGAGGAAAGUGGUGCUGCAGCUUGGCAGGCUAGCCCGGUGCCCGCUUCCACACUGCCAGUGCGCCCUCGGUUCCACGUCUGCAGACGUGAGGAGGAAAGCUGCAUACGCGCCCCUCACAUGCUGUCCUGACCCCGACUGGUUCCCAGACCCCAGCACCCACGGCACCCUGGACAGAGAGCCUGAGAGUGGAGCGCUGGCAUUUCAAAGAGCCUCACCUCACUGCGUAGGAGGCUGCCCACUUUCACAGAAACUCAAGACUGGACGAAUAAUGCAAUUAAGAAAAAGAAAUGCACAGUAAUGGGGAAAAAAAGGAAAAUACAAAACAAAACUUAGAGACAUGUUGGAGGCUUUCACCACCCUGCUAACUGCAAAUACGAAAUAUCUCCUACUUAGCAAUGCAGGGAGGUCAACUUUGUCCUCCUCUCCUUGCCCCUUCUCUCCUCCCUUACUGUUUGAAGCUUAUACAAAAGUACAGAAAAUCACACAAGACACAGCCAGAUAAAGCUCUGGCUUUAUCACAUCUGGAUAUUUUGCUACAAUUUUUUGGGAAGAUUUCUCUUUCCUUAUUUCUUUUUGAUUUUAGAAUAAUAGAACAGGUACCUUCCUAGCCCCCCGUAUGGCCUUCACAAUUUUGUUCUCUUCCUCCCAGAGGCCUCUCACCUGGAAGGGGGAGGUUCUCGAUCCCUGGCAUGGUAGCUAUGUAUGUUCUUUAUUAUUUCCAUAAAUGAUGUAACAAACGUUUGUGUUGAUACGUUUUUAUAAAUGGGAUCAUUCCAUGUUUUUUCAGCAAACUGUUUUCAUCAUUUUAUAUUUAAUUUUUUUAUAUUUACCACGUUGAUACACCUAGCUCCAGAACUUAAUCAAUUUUCUGCCAGAAUUUUUCCAUUCUGCUCUGCAUAAAAAUUUAUGUUGUUUUCUUUAUUUAAAAUCAGCUGCUCGUGGGGCACCUGGGGGGCUCCGUGGGUGAAGCGUCUGCCUUUGGCGUGGGUCGUGAUCUCGGGGUCCUGGGAUUGAGUCCGAUGUCACACUCCCUGCUCAGUGGGGAGCCUGAUUCUCCCUCUGCCCCUCCACCCCACUUUUGGUUUCUCUCUCUCUCUCUCUCAAAUAAGUACAUAAAAUCUUGAAAAUAAAAUAAACUUGGCUGCAUAUAAU